CCCUACUUUGCUCCUUCUACCCCCUUCCCUUCUGCGUCUUUCCUCUGCAUUCCGGAAUUUGACCCCCGCCAGGGAAGUAGGUUCUUAAGAAGUGGCAGAUAUGGGGUCUUACCGAAAGAGUUAUCUGGGUAUUUUAUCUAUCUGACAGAAAGUACCAAGAACCACUGGUAUCUUGUUAUCGUAGUCUGGUUUUCGCAUCAGAUUAUUUUACAAUAAUAUUGGAGGUCCUGCUGAUGGGUGCUCCAAAACAGAAGUGGACAGCAGAAGAAGAAGUGGCCCUUAAAGCUGGAGUAGUAAAGCACGGGGCAGGCAAAUGGCGCACAAUAUUGAAAGACCCAGAAUUCAGCAGUGUCUUGUCAUUGCGUUCAAAUGUGGAUCUCAAGGAUAAAUGGAGAAACAUGAACGUAACAGCGAAUGGGUAUGGGUCUAGGCACAGGGGUCGGUUAGCAGUCAGAAGGAAUCAACCUGUCCUUAAACAUGAUGAUAACCCUCUGGCUCUCAGCAUGGUAGUUCAGAGUGAUGAAGAAAUUGUGGAUGCUAAGCCUCUAGCAGUUUCUGGUGGAACACUGCAGAAUGUUGGUCCAAAAAGAUCUAUACCAAGGUUGGAAAAUAUUAUAAUGGAAGCAAUAACCAAUUUGAAGGAGCCUGGUGGUUCUAACAGGACUGAUAUCGCAACAUACAUUGAGGAUCAAUACUGGUCACCUCCAAACUUCAAAAGGCAAUUGUCAGCAAAAUUAAAAAAUUUGACAGCAAGUGGAAAAUUGAUCAAGGUAAAGCGUAAGUACAGGAUUGCUCCACGCUUGACGUCAGAAGGAAGAAGCUCUGGCUUGCUACUUCUUGAGGGAAGACCAAAGCAUACUUCCAGAACAGACAAGGAUGAUAUCAAAAUUCUUUCUAGAUCCCAGAUUGAUGCAGAGCUGGCAAAGAUAAGAAAUAUGACUGCACAGGAGGCUGCUGCUUUUGCCGCUCGAGCAGUUGCAGAGGCAGAGGCAGCCAUGGCAGAAGCUGAAGAGGCAGCAAAGGAGGCAGAAGCUGCAGAAGCUGAUGCAGAAGCAGCCCAGGCCUUCGCUGAAGCAGCAAUGUUAACAUUGAAAGGCAGAAACGGUUCAAAGAUGAUGAUCCAUGCAUGACGGAAACCUCACAGAUAGGCUAUCUGGGUCCAUGAGAAUGAACAUUGGGAUUGUCAUCACUUAGAUCAAUGUCCAUAUGCAAAUCAACUUUCAUAUUAGAACAUGCCUGUACAUAAGGGUCUUCUUGAUGGUAUUGGAUCUAUGCAGAUUUGUUAUUUUGAUAUAGAGCUAUAGGUCCUUACAUAUGAAAACUGAAAUGCAGUAAAAUGUACAGAUCAGAUAGUGAAAAGUAAAUAGAUACCUGAAGAUGAAACUGAAGUAUUUUGGGUAUCAUUGCGUCACUCAUUUUAUGAAUGAGAAAAUGCAUAAUUUUUGGAUUCUGAU